AUUGAACGCUGGCGGCAUGCCUUACACAUGCAAGUCGAACGGCAGCGGGCCUUCGGGUGCCGGCGAGUGGCGAACGGGUGCGUAACACGUGGGUAAUCAACCCUUCAGCUUGGGAUAACGACUUGAAAGGGUCGCUAAUACCGGAUACGGCGCGGGAGGCUUCGGCUUCUCACGAGAAAGCCUCGCAAGGGGCACUGAAGGACGAGCCUGCGGCCCAUCAGCUAGUUGGUGAGGUAAGAGCUCACCAAGGCGAAGACGGGUAGCUGGUCUGAGAGGAUGAUCAGCCACACUGGAACUGAGACACGGUCCAGACUCCUACGGGAGGCAGCAGUGGGGAAUAUUGCGCAAUGGGCGAAAGCCUGACGCAGCCACGCCGCGUGAGCGAUGAGGGCCUCGGUCGUAAG
rnacentral:rRNA from 1 species